GCCGCCGUAGCUCAGCCUGGCAGAGCAGCCGCCUUGUAAGCGGCCGGCCGGGAGUUCGAAUCUCCCCGGCGGCUCCA
rnacentral:tRNA from 1 species